rnacentral:lncRNA from 1 species
GGAAGCUCCUUUUAUUGUAAAACAUCAUGAGCCAGAAAGACUGAAAAUAAAAGGUGGAAAAAAGACUGACCAGGCAAAUAUGAAACAAGGGACAAGCAGAAAAAGUGACACUGCUGUUUAAAAACAAAAAGUAACGGACAAAUGCAAGAGGUGUUAUCGGGACAAAGAUGGUGACAAAACAAACCCAUCAAACACUAAAGUUCUCAACACACAUGCUCCUAGUACUGUGGCCCCAAACGGUACAAAGCAAAAAACAAUACAAUGACAAACGGUUUGGCAAAUCCACAACUGUGAUGGGAAACCUUAAUGUAUUUCUCCAUUAGACAGACAUUGGUUGGAAAGAUGCAAUCAGUAAAGACGUGAACCCCACACUCAGCACCCUCGCUGGAAUGCCUCUGACAAUGAGACAGCUUUACAUCCCUCGUCUGACAUUCAGAUGUCCUCCUGUGUGCUGGCCCUGGGUUGGCGACAGAGAUGGGGACACAGAGAUGACACGGAGCUCGCCAGGAGGAGCUCAUGGGAAUGGGGGCAGGCAUCCAAAUAAACAGUCAUGGCCAACAUGAAUAUAUUAAAGAGCAAAGAAUGACCACAAGAGCAGUUAACACCCGCCACGAGCCAGGCUUUGCUCUGGGCGCUUUACAAAUAGUAACUCAUUUAAUUCUCACUAGUUUUCAUCUCAUUUCGAAGAUUAGGAAGUGGAGGCAGAGAAUGGCUAAAUAGCGCCGUUGUGGACACAGCUUUGUGGCUGAGCUUUGAAUCCAAGUCUGGCUGACACCAGCAUGCACGUAGCUCCUUCGCUGAGUUUAGGGACCAUUUUUCCUGGAUCAUCUUGUUCAGUCCUUAGGGCCUUUGCACUCUGUUUCCCUCUGCCUAGAAUACUCUUCCUCAGGUAUCCACAGGGCCCCCUCCCGUCCCUCCACCAGGUGUUGCUCAGAGAUCACCUGCCUUGACCUGCAUUGACUUAAAACUGCAGCCCUCGCCACAGACUCACACACUGUCCUUCCCAGAUUUGUUUUUCUCCUUAGCACACGUUACAAUCUCACCCACUCCCGAUUUUGUUUAUAAAGCUUAGUGUCGGCUUCCCUUACUGAAAUGAAAGCUUCCCCAGGGCUGAUAUUUUCAUCUCGUUUUUUGAUUUUUCCACUGCUAUCUUCCCAGCUUUUAGAACAGUACCCAGUGGUUGGCUACUACCAGUGGGCUCCCUCGAGGAGCAGCUGCUGGGGGGUAUUAGAAAUGCAGUCUUGGGGAGAUUCCAUUGUGGCCUCGUGGGUUAAAAAUCUGACAUAGUGUCCGUGAGACCGCCGGUUUGAUCCCUGGCUUUGCUGACUGGGUUAAGGACCCCAUGUUGCCACAAGUUGUGGGGUCGGUCACAGAUGUGGCUCAGAUCCGGCAUGGCUGUGGCUGUGGCUAUGGCCAGCAGCUGUAUCUCUGAUUUGGAUUUGACCCCUAGCCUGGGAAUGUCCAUAUGCCACAGGUACAGCUGUAAAAAGAAAAAAAGAAAAAAGAAACGCAGUAUUGGGCUCUGCCCUACACCUGCUGGAUCAGAACGUGCACUUCAACAAGCUCUCUGGGAGAUUCGCAUGCACAUUUCAGUUCGAGAAGGAACACCCCAGCACGUCGCAGGUGUGCAGUGUGUGUUUGUUUGAAUAAACCCCUAACACUGCCAUGCUGUCUGCCUUCUGCACAGCUGCUACAGGGACCUCUGGUGAGAAACGAGCUGGUCCAGCCAAGUCCACCAGCAGAAAUCCUGCUCCCGGGACCGAGGCAGGAUGCCACCUCCUCCGAGGGCUCUCCUGGUGCCCUCCUAAGCCACCCAGGAUCUCUUCCUCCUGAGGCCUCCUCUUAUAGCACCUGUCACCUGUCAUUGCUGAAUGACAAGGACCUGCUCGAGGGGCCCCUCUCCCCUCCAUCCUCUGGGUUUCCGGAGGGCUGGGCCCUCUCCUCAAAGGCACUUCUCCGCUUGGCUCCCUGACUUGGUUUAGCUCUUCCGGCUCCAUCCUUUCCAUGGCAGCCAGAGAUCUUUGCAAACACAUAUCCGACGGCAUCACUCCCCUGCUUAAAACCCUUCCAGGAGAGGUGAGAGUUGGCAAAACAAACAAAACAUGCCCGUGAACCCUUUCUUGGGAAACCCGCUGGAGGAUCUGCUUCACCAAAGUGCAGGAGUACACCAAGAAAAAGGAAGCUAUUAGAUCAAGGAAAGAUCUAGCCCGGAAGACAGGCCAAAGGAAGGAAGGCCCAGAUGAAGGUAAAGACAGCGCGUCAGACAGCUGUGCGGCAGGUCCAGGGAGAACCCGCCACCGUAAAAGCACAGAGAAAGGCGGACAAUGAACAAGCUAAGCCUGCCACUUCAGAAGCUGGAAACAGUAUCAACCACAGAUAAACCGAAGACAGAAGGAAGGAAAUGAUUUUUUAAAAAAAGCAGAUGCCUGACUCCCAUGCUGAUUCAGGUGAUGCUCCCCUCCCCGACCUUGGCCUCCAUCCCGGGGUCGAGGAGGUCAGAGGGCUGGGCACAGCGCCGUGCCCAGGAAAUACACUUGGCCACAGGCAUACGGGCGUCGGUGGCAGGACCCCAGGGCUCUGCUCCUGCUCCUUCUAUCCUCCCCUCUCUCUACCCUGACAGCCCUGCUACCCCUUUGUCCGCAGUCCCGAUCCAUCCAUCCUCAUCCGGACGCGGGGUCUGCUGGUCUCUCUCCCCUUCUCAAGUGUUCCUCUCUGAGAGCUCCCUGAUGGCAGGAAUCAUCCAAAUAAAUCUGCAGGAUCUAGAGAUCCAGCGGGUAGCCAGAGUCCAAACAGAGCCGCCAGCCCCCCAGCUUUCCCACUCCCCAGGGUGUGACUGUAGGCAGGGUCCUUAGCCUCCUGUGCCUCAAUUUCCCCCACUGUAAAACACAGAUAAUAAUGGCACCCACCCAAGGGCUGGCUGAUGAGUCACUGAGAUCUCGGGGCCAGCGAGGCACCCAGGAGAGGCCAGUACGAAAGUGCCAGGAUUAUGAAGAAAAGGUGAGACUACUGAAGAGUCUGACCGCCACGGACCGAGCCAAAGACGUCCUCUUUAUUUCACAUUCUGAAAUGAAACCGAUCGGAAUCCCUCACACUAAUCAGCAUAUGGCCAUCCCUCUGUUAUCACUGGGUCCUGGGGCUCACCUAGUAACUAAGCGGUAUUUACAGAGCAGCUACCCUGGGCCAGGCACUGGUCUGGGCAGCAGGGAAUACGCAGGGGCCUGGAGACGGAAAUCCUUGUCCUCCAGGAUCGGAGAGAGGGGAAAAUAAAGAGUCAAAUUCAAGGUGCUGCAGGGAAGCAAAUACAGCAAGUAGAGGGGAUCAGGAAUGGAAAGUGGGAGUUAGGAUCUUUUUUUUUUAAUUUUUUUUAGGGCCACACCUGCAGCAUAUGGAAGUUCCCAGGCUAGGGGACGAAUCAGAGCUACAGCUGCCGGCCUAUACCGCAGCCACAGCCACACAGGAUCUGAGCCACGUCUGCGACCUCCACCACAGCCACUGCAACUUGGGAUCCAAGCCCUGUCUGCAAUCUACACUACAGCUCACGGCAAGGCUGAAUCCUCAACCUUCUGAGCAAAGCCAGGGAUGGAACCCACAUCCUCAUGGAUACUGUGGGAUUCGUUUCUGCUGCGCCACAACGGGAACUCCCUUUCUUUUUUUUUUUUCUUCAAUUUUUGGCCGCCCCAUGGUAUAUGGAGCUCUCAGGCCAGGGGUUAGAUCUGAGUCGCAGUUGUGACUAAUCUGCAGCUGCAGCAACACUAGAUCCUUGACCCACUGUGCUGCGCCAAGGAUUGAACCGUGUCCUAGCACACCAGAGAUGCUGCCGACCCCAUUGCUCCACAGCAGGAGCUCUGGGAGUUAUGAUCUUAAUUGAAGGGUCAGGAGAGUAUCAAAGAGCAAGUGGCAAGAUAAGCAUUUUAGAAAACCUAUAAGCACAGGCUGCAAACACAUUUAAGAUUUGAAGAAAAGGCAAAAUCACUUGGAAAGGAGACACAAUUUCUAAGACAAACCAACAAAGGAAAGGGGGGAAAAAAAGUGUCACGUCACCCCAGAUGUGACAAACAGGUACAGGGAUGAGGAAGAAGUUGGCAACUCUUCUCCAAACCAACAGAUUUUCAGAUAAUUCACUGAGACCAGGGGAUAAAAUGUUAAAAAUCCAGGAAAGCAAUGACCACCAGGCAAAGCUGGCACAAGGGACUGAAAAUGAAGCAGGGAUAGAAACACCCAAUCCAGAAGAAAGAACACAAAUGCCACCAGAGCUGUAAAACUGCCCCAGUGUUAUGACAACAGCAAGCUCCCCAAGGGCCAGGUAUUGGCCUGAACCUGGUACAAGCCCUGGCACAUAGUAGUACCCUAGCAACACGCAGGGGGUGAACCCCCAAUUCUCCAGAAGAGGAAACCGAGGCCCAGAGAAGUUAAAGGACUUGCCCAAAGUCACAGAGCAGGUGGGUGAUGGGAGUCAGGAUUCGGCUCUGGGUGUCCUGGUUCUGGAGCACGUGUGCAAUACAUUUUUCUUGGAGAAACAAAAUUAUUCAAAAGACCUCACACUUGUUAAAGGCUUACUACGCACUAGGCACGUUAUACAUGUUACCACAUCGACCCUUGACAAGAGCCUCGUGGUUGGAAGGUGGUCCCAUUUUACAUACGAGAAAACUGAGACCCAGCAAUGGGAAUGCAACUUGGCCAAGGACACACAGCAGCAGAGGUGGGGAUAUGAAUGUGGGCCUAUCUGUAGCCAAUGCUUUUCACCCUAAGCUCUCCUAUCAGAGUCAGAGACCUUAUGGGUCAACUCAGGAAGCCUCACAACAAAUGAGCCCAUUUCAAAAUGACUUAGAAAGUUGCCACACUGCCCAGGGAAGUCCUAAGGACCAAAAGGGUGGGGGGGGGGCAGAAAACCCACACAGUUGUUAGAAAUAGUUCCUGCUCACUGAAAUACCUGGAGUUGGGCCAGGCUGGGCAUGGGCGAGUGAAUUAUUUAUCUUUGGCUGUGGCUAGGAAUGGGAAUGGGGACAGAUUGAAUUUCUGAGCACCCCCUCAAGGAGUGACCCUUGGACCUAGGAGCCCAGGGGUAGAGAACUAGAAGGCAGCCUGGCUGAUGUUUUCCUCACUGGUCCUUCACUACCGCCCUCUCUCAAGUCUGAGUUUCUCAUUGCCAUUCAAAAAAAAAGACAACUCAUACGUAUCAAGCGCGUACUCCAAGCACGUGACCUGCUUCCCUCCCCAAACCCUCUAACCAUCCUAGGGUUACUGAUCCCACUUUACAGUUGAGGAGCCGCUCAAAGACUUACUCAAGGUCACACAGUAAGUAAGGAGUAGAACUAAAAUUCAAAUUGAGGAGCUCUCUUGUGGCCCGGUGGGUGAAGGAUCUGGCAUUGUCACUGCAGCAGGCUCAGGUCACUGCUGUGGUGGGGGUUCGAUCCCUGGCCCCGGCGAACUUUUAGAUGCCAAGGGUGGGGCCAAUACAUAGAUAAAUAAAUAAAAUUCAACCUGAAGACUGCUUUCAGUUCUCAAGUCUCUGCCCUACUCAUGACACUUCAGUACCAGGAAAGGGGACUGUAUUACAGAGCUGAGAGCACGGACUCUGAGCCAGGAUGCCGAGGUUGGACUCCUGAGUCAACCACUCAUGCUGGCUGACCUUGGAAAAGUUGCUGAACCUCUCUGUGCCUCUGCUUCCUCUCUGUAGGAUGGAGACAACUUAAGGGGUGUUGUCAGAAUCAAAUGAGUUAAUACAAACAACUACGAACAGGGCCAGGCACUUCCUAAACAAUUAGUGUGAGCUGGAGUUGACUGUGGGGAACCCCUGCAUGCUUCUGAGCGGGGCUGUGCCCAGAUCAGUGCCAGAGUUUGAGAAAACGCCCCUGGGGCUGGGCUGAAAAAGAGGGAAUCCAUUAGCACCUGUGACCCAGUCACAUUCCUGGAGCAGGGAACUUCCCACCAACAGCUCUGGGAUGCAAGCCUCCUCUCUUCUCAGCGGCAUUUUGUUCCCACAAUACAGAUAAGGGCACUGAGUUUCAUAGAGAGGGGACACUUGCCCAGGUCGCAAAGGAAUGGCAGAAGAAAAGAACUGAGUGCUGGACCGUCUGUACACAUAAACCACUACACUUUUCUAAAUCCCAUUAGAGAAAUGUGAGUGCAAAAGGUUGUCUCGAUGGCCCUUUCUGGCCAUAUCAUCCUACAGUUCUGUGACUGUCCAGUUAUCGGGAGUCUCUGGCUGGGCUAAGUAAACUAUCGCUACAUGCAGGCCCCUAAUCUCAUGCUCCUCACCCCACCCACAGUCCCGGGUCCUAACCUACACACCACUCUACCAUUGAUUUCUCUCUUCUACCAUCUCAGCUUGUCCUCCUGCCCCCAAUCCGAUCCAGAGGCUCCAACCCACGGCAUCCACAGCUGGCCUCUCCCUCCGGAGCCUCCAGACCCCCUCAUUCAUCUAGCACUGACUCCUAAUGCCUUUCAACAUCCCCUAGGCUAAACCCCUCGAAAUUGCCCCCUUCAGUGCCUCUGUCUGGACGCCCAGCCCCUUCUCCAACUCGGGACUCCUUCCUCCAGCUCUGAGCUCCCUUACAAUCAAUCCCAAAGCUCGACUCUCUCCCCAUCUUCAAGACCCAUCCCCAACCCCCAUUCUUCUACUACUCUCUCCGGCUCCCAUUUCUCCCAAUCCCAUCCCCCAAACGAUCUCCCCUCAUCCAGCCCCUUCUUUAGCUCCUGCCUCUUCCCUCUCGCCACCGGGUCCCAAACGCCCGCCCCAGUUCGCAAGCGCCCCUGGCCCCAGCUCAGCGUUCUCACCAUCUCCCCGCGCUGCAGCUCCCUCGGCUACGCGGGUUUCCCCCACUCGCUCCUCUCC